GAAGAGGCGGCUUCACGCAUUUACCCACGUUCAAUUUAACUGCCCAUUGCGGUUUCCUCCAAAAAGCGAGUGGAGGCCGCUGAUGAAACAGAAGAGCAAUUGGGGAAUUGAACAAGGAAACAGACCGGGGGUCAUGACCGAAACAGAAAUAGGAAGACUUGAAAAAUACAAAGAUUUGGAAUUUAUAUAUGGAGAUCAAACCAGGUGAGUCUUCUCUGACACAUAUGUUUGGUUUAGUUUGGUUUCUUAGAUAAGUUACCGAAUUGACGCAGAGAGAAUGUGUUUGGGCAAUAGUCCAAUGGCCAGCAGUGGCUUAGUGAGUUCUCAUCUUUGAUAUUUUGAUCAUUAUUUAUUUUCAUGUUUUAUAAUCUUCUUCUAUAAACUUUGUUUCCUUUUGCCAGGAUUGUUGUUUCAUUUUGGAUGAGUCGGAAUCCAUUCUUUUCGUUUAAACUUCUUUAUAGUCUCUCUUGAAAAUUUUGCACUAUUCUGAGUAAUUUUGAUUUCAGGUGUGUUUUAGUUUCUUUCUUUUGUUCUCCAUUGCACCAAUUUAUAAAUAUUUUUUUUCAUUUGUUUUUUGUGUGACUACGAUGGGUCAUGCAGAUAUAGUUAGUUGUUGCUAUGUCAGGUACUCUUUUUCCUUACCUUCUGUUUUGUUAACCAGAAGGGUGUGAAUAAGCAAACAUCAUUUUUGUUAAGAAUCAUUUUGAGUUUAGGGAGAUUGUUUCAAUUCACAAUAUUUUAUUUUUGUUUUUGUUCUUUCCAAAAGCUUUUUCCAAGUACGAAGAAUUUGCUGGUGAAAUUUGAUAUCGAUGAAAAGGAAAAUGUUCAUGUUUGCGGACAUGGUCAACUAAGAAUUUCAGUUUUAAUCUUUUGUGUUGCACUUUUAAUUGUGAUAAAAAGGAAAAACGAUCAUGAAAUAUUUUUUAAAGAAUUUGUUUGGAUAUCAAUUCAAAUAUGAAUCCAGUUGUUCUAGGACUGAAACUUAAGGUUCAUCAUUGAGUUUGGUUUCUUAGGUUAUUUAUUCAUUCUCUAUGAUUAGUUCAGUUUUAAUAUUCUGUGUUGCACUUUUAAUUGUGAUAUAAAGGAAAAACGAUCAUGAAGUCUUUUUUAAAGAAUUUGUUUGGAUAUCAAUUCAAAUAUGAAUCCAAUUGUCCUAGCUAGGAACUUGAAUCAACUGAAGCAUAAGGUUCAUUGAGUUUAGUUUCUUAGGUUAUUUUUUCUUUCUCUAUGAUUAGUUUAUUGAAUGAAUUUUUAUUUUGCUUGGCUAAUUUUUUUUUUCUUUACUAUUUUGCUGCUUAACAAAUCAGAGAAGAUAAGUAGGGUAUUGCGAUAUGAGUACUUUACCCAUGUUUAGGAGUGGUUUAAUUUCAACUGCUUUGUAAAAAAGCAAAUGGUGACUGAAGGGAAAACGAGGACACCAGGUAGCUUAUGCAUAUUAAAUUUGAUUUAUGCUGUUAAUUUUUCCAUUUGAUCCCUAUUUUUUAACAACUCUCUUAAGCCAAUUUUGUAGGAAACCUUUUUCCUCUGUUUUUUCAUUUUUGGUUAUUGUAUGGUGCAUAUGAUCUGCAAUUUAUGUUGUUUGAUCACUUUGAUCAAAUAUCACCUCCUUUAUGGUUCUGUUAUUGAUGAUUGUGAAUUCCUUUUCACACCAAAAAUUGGACCCCCAGAGGAAGGUGAAAUAUUGUACUGUGAGUGAAAGGCCAACAACCAAUGGUGCAGUAGUGAAAGGCCAAACACUGAAGUUGAAACGAAGAUCCCCGGAGCAUCAAGUUUAUGAAAAGUUGAGGGCUGAGUGGCUGACCUUGAUUUUUCGGUAAUUUAAGAAAUUAAAAGUGUUUGAGAUGUUACAAUUGAAGUAUUGAACUGUGGAAGAUAUCAUUGAAUUGUCUCUACUAACACAGAAAUGGAGUUAUGCAUGUUGUCUUUCUUUUCAGCACAUUUAUUGAGUUUUCUGUUAAUUGAUGGUAUGUCUUCACGUAUAAAGAUGAGAAGACGGAC